UGGGGAAUAUUGCACAAUGGGCGCAAGCCUGAUGCAGCCAUGCCGCGUGUAUGAAGAAGGACUUCGGGUUGUAAAGUACUUUCAGUCGGGAGGAAGGUGUCAAGGUUAAUAACCUUGGCAAUUGACGUUACCGACAGAAGAAGCACCGGCUAACUCCGUGCCAGCAGCCGCGGUAAUACGGAGGGUGCAAGCGUUAAUCGGAAUUACUGGGCGUAAAGCGCACGCAGGCGGUUGAUUGAGUCAGAUGUGAAAUCCCCGGGCUUAACCCGGGAAGUGCAUCUGAUACUGGUCAGCUAGAGUCUUGUAGAGGGGGGUAGAAUUCCAUGUGUAGCGGUGAAAUGCGUAGAGAUCUGGAGGAAUACCGGUGGCGAAGGCGGCCCCCUGGACAAAGACUGACGCUCAGGUGCGAAAGCGGGGGGAGCAAACAGG
rnacentral:rRNA from 1 species